UAGGGAAUCUUCCACAAUGGACGCAAGUCUGAUGGAGCAACGACGCGUGAGUGAAGAAGGUUUUCGGAUCGUAAAGCUCUGUUGUUGGUGAAGAAGGAUAGAGGUAGUAACUGGCCUUUAUUUGACGGUAAUCAACCAGAAAGUCACGGCUAACUACGUGCCAGCAGCCGCGGUAAUACGGAGGUGGCAAGCGUUGUCCGGAUUUAUUGGGCGUAAAGCGAGCGCAGGCGGAAGAAUAAGUCUGAUGUGAAAGCCCUCGGCUUAACCGAGGAACUGCAUCGGAAACUGUUUUUCUUGAGUGCAGAAGAGGAGAGUGGAAUUCCAUGUGUAGCGGUGGAAUGCGUAGAUAUAUGGAAGAACACCAGUGGCGAAGGCGACUCUCUGGUCUGCAACUGACGCUGAGGCUCGAAAGCAUGGGUAGCGAACAGG
rnacentral:rRNA from 1 species